rnacentral:rRNA from 1 species
GACGAACGCUGGCGGCGUGCCUAAUACAUGCAAGUAGAACGCUGAAGGAGGAGCUUGCUCUUCUGGAUGAGUUGCGAACGGGUGAGUAACGCGUAGGUAACCUGCCUGGUAGCGGGGGAUAACUAUUGGAAACGAUAGCUAAUACCGCAUAACAGUAGAUGUUGCAUGACAUUUACUUAAAAGGUGCAAUUGCAUCACUACCAGAUGGACCUGCGUUGUAUUAGCUAGUUGGUGGGGUAACGGCUCACCAAGGCGACGAUACAUAGCCGACCUGAGAGGGUGAUCGGCCACACUGGGACUGAGACACGGCCCAGACCCCUACGGGAGGCAGCAGUAGGGAAUCUUCGGCAGUGGACGGAAGUCUGACCGAGCAACGCCGCGUGAGUGAAGAAGGUUUUCGGAUCGUAAAGCUCUGUUGUAAGAGAAGAACGAGUGUGAGAGUGGAAAGUUCACACUGUGACGGUAUCUUACCAGAAAGGGACGGCUAACUACGUG